CGCCGCAGCAGUGCAUGCUGGGAAGCGGGAGGCGUUGCUAGAACGGGAAGAAGCCGGACCCCCCUCCAAAGUGCUGCUGUCAGCCGCGAGCGCACGUUCCAGUCCCUCGGGGAAACUUUGAAAAAAAAAUUCUUGUGAACUGAGAUUCCCAGUAAACCAGUGCUAUCACUCUGACCUUGCCCCAGAGAUGAGCAAACAGAAGCCUGGAGAAUUUACGUGAUUUGUGCAAGUUCAACACAGCUGAGUCCCAUCUUACCUAUCUGGAACCUAGCCAAGAACCAAGAAAGAAACCAAAAAAUAAAAUUUUUUUAAAAAGCUCUAAUAAGUGUAGCUAGAGAUAGUGGAAGUCCUACCGUGUGGGCACUCAGGCAUUUUGCAUCUAGGAAGACCCAGCUCUCACCCAACAGCCAUUUUCUUUUCUUUACACACAGUUUUAACAAGUUUGAGGAUCUGGUUAUCCAAACCUAAAUGGAUAGUUUCACGUUGGAAGCGAUGUAAUGGAUGCUGUAGACAUGCGCACUGACAGCCGUGAGAAGCAAGCAGGAGACAGAAAAAAGGAAAUGUGCGUACAGCGGCAUGUCUCCAUCUUCUUAGCCCACGCUGCUUUCAGUAAAUGUGAACAUUUUGCCUCCUUCCAGAGUUUCUGACACUUCAGGUAGAUACACCCUCCCUCCUUGCCACACUGGCUAGCCUGAGAAGUGGACUCUGAGUUGGAGGUUGGCACACAGGAGGUUUAUUAAAGAGUGAACAUGGCAUCCAUGCUGUGGAAGGGAGGGCAAGGAAGUAGGAGUCACUUCUGGAAAAAAGAGAGAAAUUUGUGGCGAGAGAAGGGAACUUUGUUGUUUUUUUUGUGGAGUUUAGAUUCCAGCUUGAAAAUUCAAACUACAGUGUAACCCGACAGUAGCCUUAGCCAACUCCAAGGAAAGAGCUGGAGCUAGCAUAGUUCUUCUGAGUUGUCCUCAGUUGGAUGAAGAUGUCCAUCUUAUAUUCCUGUAUUGAAGGUCACUGAACAUAAGCUGUCUAGGCUCCUUGGGUGCGGAGGCUCUCAGAAGGGGCUGACAGAUGAAAGCUCUCUGUUGACAACGCUCUCUGCAGCUGAGGCAAAAGUCCUUCAUGGAAGGAGACCUGGCUGGCACUUCACAGUGUCCACCAAACUCCAUGACUCAUCCCCUGGAGGGCUAGGAUAUUCUCACCUUCUCUGUGUCUCACUUGAUUGAUGGCUAUGACAGAGACUCCUAGGUAUCCAUCAAAUAUCAUUCCAGAUAUUCUGGUAAUGAUAGCAGGGCUAGAAUAUAUUACUUUCCCGUCAUCCUCAUUAGUAGGUAUAGCCAUUGGUUUUGGCCAGUGAGAUAUAAACAUCAAUAUGUGUGGAGAUCUGGAGAAGCCUUUGCAGAAGUUGAUGGCUCAGAUUUCUCCCUUCUUCCUUUCCACUACCAGUGAUGUGGACCAGUUAGAUGGGCUCUGGCAGCCAUCUCGGACCAAAAAGUAACUUUAAAGACAGAAGCUAUGUACUUUCAAGGUAGAUCAGAAGAACAGGAGGAACCUGACUCCCCAGUGACGCUGGAGCCGCCAGACCACAUAUGGACUGAUGUCUCUGGACUUCUUUUUAUAAGAGAAAUAAACAUCUAUCUUGUUUAAACAAUUGUUAUUUUGAGUUUUCUGUUUUACAGCCAAAUUUGACCCUGGCAGAUUCAAGGGCCAAGCUCUACUGGGGAUUUCUUAUGGUUGAGAUAGAGAUUUUUGCUUCCUUAAUAUUUCUGGAAUCUAUCUCCUCUCCAUUGCCCGUGUUCCUUGAGUGGAAGUCCUUACUGUUUCUCCGUUGAAUCUUCACCCCCUCCAGUAAGUAGUCUGUACCGCUGCCAGAGGGAUCUUCUAAAUGACAAGUUUGAUUAUAUCACUCCCACUGUUAAAAACCUUUCCAGAGGCUGGUAAGCUCUGACUUGUUUGUGAUAGGAUGUUUUGUCUUAUGAAUUGAAUAUUAGGACCUGAGCAUGUCCUACUCCAUAUUUGUGCUUAUUUUGUUAUGUGGUUUAUAUCAUGUGUCCAUAUGUAUCCAAGGAACAUUGCUAGAAACAUCACUGGAAUUUCCUGCAGGAGAGGAAGCCACUGGUGAGCACUGUAUCCUACAAUAGCCAAUGAAAGAACAUAAAUUUAUUUGCUAGUAAGCUGGGCGUUGGGCACAUCUAAACCCACUUAGGAAUCAUAGUCCAGCAGCCACCUCUUUCCCCAACCACACAAUCUUACUCCUCUUAGUAACAUUCCAUUGCUGUCUGAGCCAUUCCAUUUUUCCUUCCUGUAUCAGUGCUCUGAUCACUCCCAGGAUUUUUUUGCAAUGAAAAUGCGGAUUACAGACCCACUGCUGAACCUUUAGUCACCUCUAAAGCUCCAUAGGAUGAAUUGCUUCCAUUGGUUUUCAGAAGCUAUCAGUGGGUUCCAUUGUGUUGUUUUACUAUAUCAAUAUUCUCCUUCCCGUGAAGAUGUCUUUGCCUUUAUUUUUGUGUGUGGUGCAUUUAAAAAAACGUUUAUUCUGAGAUCUUUGUAGAUUCACAUACUGUUGUGAGAAAUAAUAAUAGUAAUAAUAAUACCCUUCACUUGAUUUCUUCCAAUGGUAAUAUCUUGGGUAAUUUUCGUACAGUAUCACAAUCAAGAGAUUGACAUUGAUACAAUCUGCAUUAAUUUUUUUAAAAAAUUAUUGUUUUCCUUCUUUUUAGAUACAUUAUAUACUUAAAAGGCAGUAACUCUUGCACCGUCAAGUUGUAGUAGAAGAUAUACAAUGUACUCUUUUUACUUCUGUUCGUGUGUAUUGUACAGAGCCUGUGUGCUUUUUGUAAUGUAAAUAAAAAAAUUUUAAGAGCUC